GGUGAAUUCCAGAGACUUAAGGUUUGUGCUGAAAGAGGUGGACCCUUCACAGGGAGCCACAGUCGGAAAACAAGCCACCAUAGAUAUGUGCACAUACACAUGAAGAGCUGGCAGGAACUGUCUUCCCUGAGAUGUCCAGUGCAGUUCUCCUGGCCUAUGAAGUACCAGUGUUAGAUGCACUGCAGAGGGAUGAUGUCACAGCCUUUCCCCUCCUGUGAAUAGAACCAUUUUGAUCAAGACAAAACCACCAUGGGAUCCCAGGAAAGGUCACCUGGAGCUGCCCUGUGUAGAACCAGCCCCACAAAGAGACCGCCCUUCAUGAAGAACUUUUGAAUUGAAAAGAACGUUUCUAUUCAUCACGGCAUCUUUCCCACAUAACAAGGGGGAAGUUGAAAGGCUCCCACCUGAACUCAAGGAGCAUCACACUCUACAUAUUUUGCUUCACUGCAACCCUAGAACAGUGAGUUAUUCCUCGAAAAAGGCUUUCAUGGCUAUUUCAAGAGAAAUGCCUUGCAACUGAUUAAGAAACUGACCCAGACAUAAAGCAAGGGAUGAGCUUUCUUGGGUGAUUUCCCCCCCAGGGUUACUGUCUCUGGGUCACUGAGAAGCCAUUUAUGUUUAAUAACUUUAUACUGAUUAAGAGAAAAUAACAUUCUACCCCAUCCACCCCCAUCUCCAUUCAAUCCCCCUUAGGACCAAUUCAGACCAUGCAGGUGAACAAAUUUAGUGUUUUUCCAUAGCAUUAAAAGGUUUUCCUUUUCUUGCAAUUAAAAAUGUGUAUACCAUAGAUUGAAUAUCUGGACUUCAUUAUACAGAUCUGUGAGAGAAAUGAGACUGCGUCAACGUUGAAUUGGAAAGGAAUACUAUUUUUCAUUCCUGUUUCUACCUCUGUCCUAGUUUUUUUUCUCUUUCUACCCUAGACUCGUCUUUCAUCUUGGCCCCAUCAGAUACUCUGAAUUAUGGUAAGCCCAUCUGACAAAGCCCUGGCAAAGCACAACUGCCUUUCCAAGAAUUAACAUCUUCCUAUGAGUUUAUAUGUCAAUUCAGAGUUAAAUUGGUAAAUCCCAGCAUUUUUGCUCAAAAGCUGUUGAUUUAAAUGUAUUUAUAGAGCAAAUAUUAACACUAUCCACUGUCAGAUGGUCACACAUACGCACACUCAGACACCUCAACAACCCAUGCUGACCUGUCGGUAGAGAUGGCUGCUGCAUUUUACGAGUCCUCAAUACAUUAAAAUUGCUCUACACAAA